GCACUGUUCAUUCUGGUGGAAACUUGCAAACAACGACAUGCCCCUCACUGGGAGCUGACUGGGACCUGAGCAGCUCUGGGACCUCGGCACAGUGGGGUGUUGUAAUGGGUUCUGUCACCCGCUCCCGCUUUUUCACAUAUGAAAAAACUGGGUCCCUGAGAGAAGAAGGGACUUGCCUGAUGUCAUCCCUUGGUGUCUUCAGGGGGCUUGGUUCCAGGACCUCCGUGGAUAUCAAAACCCGCAGAUGCUCAAGUCCCUUUUAUAAAACGGUGUAAUAUUUGUAUGUAACCUACCCACAUCCUCCUCUAUGCUUUAAAUCUUCUCUGGAUUACUUAUAACACCUAAUACAAUGUAAAUGCUAUGUAAAUGGUUGUUAUAGUGUAUUGUUUAAGGAAUAUGACAAGAAAAAAAAAGUCUGUACAUGUUCAGUAGAGGCAGGCAUCCAGGCCUUUUGAUCCGUGGUUGGCUGAAUCUGUGGAUGUGGAUCCCUCGGAUACUGAGGGCCGACUGUAUGGCCGUCCGUUUCCCUGAUGCCUAAUGAUAUUGAGCACCUUUGCACUGCUUAUUGGCUGUUUGCAUAUCUUCUUUGGAGAAAUGCCUGUUCGUAUCCUUUGCCCAUUUCUAAAUUAGAUUAUUUAUCUUUUUAUUAUUGAGUUGUGAGACUUAGUUGUAUACAAGUCUCUUAUCAGAUAUAUGAUUUGCAAAUAUUUUCCCGGUUUUCACUUACUUGAUGUGAGUCAUUCUAUUCAGAUUUUCUGUUGUUUGUUGUACUUCCCCAGAAAAAAAUUCCACCCAUGUUUUUGGAUUUCUUGAUUUCUCUUUUUACCCUUUCAUUUACUUAAUUAACCUUUAUAUCUAGCUGACAAUUAUUUAUAUUAAAUAAUCUCUGUUGAAAUAA